CAGUCGUGCGAGAAAGUACCCUUCGGGGUGCGAGUACAGCGGCAAACGGGUGAGUAACACGUAAGGAAUCUGCCUCCAAAUCCGGAAUAGCUCUGCCAACGCGGAAUUAAUGCCGGAUGUGGUUGUUUGGUCGCAUGACCUGACAACUAAAGGUGACCUCUUCGUUUGAAAGUUACCGUUUGGAGAUGACCUUGCGGCCCAUUAGCUUGUUGGCGGGGUAACGGCCCACCAAGGCUGCGAUGGGUAGCCGGCCUGAGAGGGUGAACGGUCACAUUGGGACUGAGAUACGGCCCAGACUCCUACGGGAGGCAGCAGUAGGGAAUUUUGCGCAAUGGACGAAAGUCUGACGCAGCAACGCCGCGUGAGCGAUGAAGGUUUUCGGAUCGUAAAGCUCUGUUGAGUGGGAAGAAACGUCUCGGGGUUAAUAUCUCCGAGGCCUGACGGUACCACUCGAGGAAGCUCCGGCCAACUACGUGCCAGCAGCCGCGGUAAUACGUAGGGAGCGAGCGUUGUUCGGAAUCACUGGGCGUAAAGGGAGUGCAGGCGGAAGAGUAAGUCAGAAGUGUAAUCUACGGGCUCAACCCGUAUCUCGCUUUUGAUACUGUUCUUCUUGAGUAGUGGAGAGGGAAACGGAAUUCCAGGUGUAGCGGUGGAAUGCGUAGAUAUCUGGAAGAACACCAGUAGCGAAAGCGGUUUCCUGGCCACAUACUGACGCUGAGGCUCGAAAGCGUGGGGAGCAAACAGGAUUAGAUACCCUGGUAGUCCACGCCGUAAACGAUGGGCACUAGAUAUCGGGG
rnacentral:rRNA from 1 species